rnacentral:rRNA from 1 species
CAGUCGCCGCGGGAAUACAGAGGGUGCAAGCGUUAAUCGGAUUUACUGAGCGUAAAGGGCGCGUAGGUGGUUAUUUAAGUGAGAUGUGAAAGCCCCGGGCUUAACCUGGGAACUGCAUCUUAUACUGGGUAACUGGAGUGCAGUAGAGGGUAGUGGAAUUUCCGGUGUAGCGGUGAAAUGCGUAGAUAUCGGAAGGAACACCAGUGGCGAAGGCGGCUACCUGGACUGAGACUGACACUGAGGCGCGAGAGCGUGGGGAGCAAACAGGAUUAGAUACCCCCGUAGUCCCUGUCUCUUAUAC